rnacentral:rRNA from 1 species
CCUACGGGAGGCAGCAGUGGGGAAUUUUGGACAAUGGGCGCAAGCCUGAUCCAGCAAUGCCGCGUGAGUGAAGAAGGCCUUCGGGUUGUAAAGCUCUUUUGUCAGGGAAGAAACGGCUGCGGCUAAUAUCCGCGGCUAAUGACGGUACCUGAAGAAUAAGCACCGGCUAACUACGUGCCAGCAGCCGCGGUAAUACGUAGGGUGCAAGCGUUAAUCGGAAUUACUGGGCGUAAAGCGUGCGCAGGCGGUUUUGUAAGUCUGACGUGAAAGCCCCGGGCUCAACCUGGGAAUUGCGUUGGAGACUGCAAGGCUUGAAUCUGGCAGAGGGGGGUAGAAUUCCACGUGUAGCAGUGAAAUGCGUAGAGAUGUGGAGGAACACCGAUGGCGAAGGCAGCCCCCUGGGUCAAGAUUGACGCUCAUGCACGAAAGCGUGGGGAGCAAACAGGAUUAGAUACCCUGGUAGUCCACGCCCUAAACGAUGUCUACUAGUUGUCGGGUUUUAAUUAACUUGGUAACGCAGCUAACGCGUGAAGUAGACCGCCUGGGGAGUACGGUCGCAAGAUUAAAACUUAAAUGAAAUUGACGG